AGCUCCUCCACGCAUCUGCUGGGGACGCGCAGGCCCGCCGGAUCCCGCAGACCCGGUGCGGGCUGCCUCACUGCGGCUGCGGGGCUCACGAUGACCUGAAUGCUGAUUAUCCCGGAGAUCAACAAAGGAAACGAGGGGAGGUGAGAUGAACCGUUUCCUGAGAGCGGAGGAGAGCGGAGGCCCGCUGACGGACUGCAGGGAGCUGUCACCCAACCACACCUCCUCUUCCUCAAUCUCCAUCCCCACCACCUCCUCCUCCUCCUCCUCCUCCUCCUCCUCCUCUUCCUCCUCCACCGCCGCUCGCUCAUCAGACGCGGCCUUGCCUUUGCUCCAGACCCGGGGACCGAACGGCGGCGGCGGGUCGGAGUCGAGGAAAGCCGCGCUUACACGCCGAACCGGCCAGGAGGAAGGAGAAGAGGCGGAGGCGGCGGGCGGUUCCGCGGCUGCGUCGGCGCGCUCCGGGCUCGCUGAGCCGCGUCCGGGAGCUCAAGGACGCGGCGGCGCAGAAGGUCUGGAGAUGAUCUCAGCGGUCAGCAGGGAUGCGGAUGGCGGCAGCAGCAACAACGGCAUCUCGGAGGUGGCCGCGGCCGCUCCCGCCGCGUGCGCCAAAGGCAAGGAGGAGAGGAAGGGGAAGAACGUGAUCCGGGGCUGGAAGAGGGAGAGAGACAGGGAGAGGGACCGGGAGCGGGACGCCGCCGCUCCUCCUGCCCGCACCAGGAAGGAGAAGCCCGGCGAUGGCCCGUCUCCUCCUCCCUCCGUCUUCCUCCCGUCGUCCGCCCAGUUCGAGCAUCCUCUGUGCCGGGACGGGCCCGCGCAGAGCCGCUGCGGGGCGCCGGGGGACAGCGGCGGCUGCGGGGGGGCCACGCAGGACUGUGGACUUAAGAGCGGCGCUAUUGUUGUGCGGCGGCAGCUGGACGACACGCCGGCCGCCAAGAAACACCGAGGAGCCGACAAGGUGAACCCCAUGUUUACGGCACCCGCUCCUCCUGCUCCAGUCCACCCCGGUGCCCCUGGAUCCUCUUUGCCCUUGACCCCUUCCUUUUACCCUCCGGCCUUGCCCAUCUCCAGCCCAAAGCAGCUGGCGGUGAGGACACGGUCCGUUGGCACCAACACUCAGGAUGGCGGUGUCUCCGGGGUGUCAGAGGGAGAGCCCCCCUGCAUCGGGCCAUGUCAGCCCGGCACCAGCGUUAACCUGGAGGGCAUCGUCUGGCACGAGACAGAGGAAGGUGUUCUGGUGGUGAACGUCACCUGGAGGAAGAGAACCUACGUGGGAACUCUGCUAGAUUGCACCAAACAUGACUGGGCGCCUCCAAGGUUUUGUGAAUCUCCUUGCAGUGAUCCUGAGUUUCCGGGUGCACGUGGUCGGGGAAAACGGAUGCGGAUGGCCAUGGUCGAGCACCCCUUCAUAGAACCAUCGGGUGGUAAAGUCCGAGGAUUCUCUCACCACCGGAGCCGUGGGGGCAGUGUGGCAGGAACAAGUGCACCUAUCCACAGCAAGGGAAGGAGGGGCAGCCUGAACCUCAUAAACAAUUGCAAAGCUCCUUCUUCUUUUUUCACUGUGGAUGAGGUGAAAGCGACCAAUAGCACCUCCUCUGGGAAGCGAAAGAACAAACCACCAGCUGACUUAGACUUGAGUUUGGUUUCCACAGAAGAUGUAAAAAAUGGGAACGGGAAGAGGAUACGAGCUAAAUCUCGGAGUGCUCCAUCUACACCACAAGGCAAAUCUGAUCCUUCAUUCAUGGAUCCCGGUGAAGGCUGUACUUCUUCACCGCCGCCAAUUCUCAUUGACUGUCCACAUCCAAACUGCACUAAACGCUAUAAGCACAUUAAUGGCCUGCGCUACCACCAGACACAUGCACACCUGGAGGCUGAGGAGCAGAGGAAGCCUGAGCUAGACCCCAUGAAGGACGGAGACAGUGAAGACCGACUAUCAGACUGUGAUGAUGCCAUCAACAACAUAACCUAUGACCUCUCAGAAACAAACAGCACUAAUACCAACAACUCCUCAAAGAAAUCUGCUCCUCUCUACAAGGUGACCACUGUUGGACCUCCUAAAAACAGGAGGCUACUCCUCAGCACUGAUCACAGCCCCUCAGUCAACUCCAAAACCAGAAGAACCUCACUACUCAAAGACGGCCUGAUCGAUGACCUGAGCAAUCUACCUAUUAUCUCCAAUAUGACUGUAGUUUUGGAGAACUGCAUGGUUUCAGAUAGGACCUCCUCAGUAGAAAUGCCCAAGCUUGAAGCAGAGGGACUGAUAGAAAAGAAGGGAGGUGCAGGUGAUAAGGGCAAAAAGGCCAAUGGGAAAGUAGAGAAGUUGUCCAAGACAAGAACCAACCGGCCAAUCGCCCCUGCACCUGCUCCUCCAAAACUAAUUGCCAUUCCUAACACAACAUUUUCAACCAGCACAGCAGAUGUAGUCAGCCAACAACAGCCAUCUCCUAUGGCAGCUGCAGGUUUAACCAAUAAAAAUGUUGCCCUGAAACCCAUCAAACCAAAGCUGAGUGUUGUUGUGGAGCCAAGCCCCCUUAAAAUCUCUAUGGUUACCUGCAGUAAGGAAACCAGGAAAAAAGAAAAACGACGGCUUAAGGAUAAACACAAUAAAGAUGUAUCAACAAGGACAGCUAAUGGUGAAAGCCCUGGAAUCCACAUGGAAGACGGUGGAUCUAAAAUUGGUGCAAAGGAAAUUCCUGGAAGCCUUCUAAAAGAGCACCUCAGCAAACAGGAUGUGAUGAAUGGACUUACAGAGAGCCAGGAAAGUCGGAUGGCCAGCAUCCGUGCUGAGGCUGACAAAGUCUACACUUUCACAGACAAUGCCCCAAGUCCCUCCAUUGGCAGUUCAUCACGACUUGAGGCGGGUGGUGGUUGCUUGGCGACAGGAGACAACGGCAGUAAGAACAACAGUCCCGCUUACUCUGACAUCUCGGAUGCAGGGGAAGAUGGGGGAUCCUCUGAUGGGCCCAGAUCAAAAUCGGGUUCCUCUGCUUCUUCCGAGGUGAGCUCCAACAGUAACCAUGGCAACUGUGGUAAAACCCCUCCCACAACAUGUGCACAGCCAGCAAAAGAGCCCCAGUCCCCAUUUUACCACAACUACGAGCCCUACUACCUUCAAGGGUUCAUGCCACCUGAAAGGCAGAACAGCAGCUUCCACAAAAACUCUGCCAAUGACUGCAAAGGGAAAGAGAGAAAAGAAGAGACAAAGGAAGAAAACACGAAUACAUCCUAUGAGUUCUCAGAUUCUAAGAAAGUUGAUGGGCUGACCCAGUCUCAGCUCCAGCUGGCCAUGAAUCACACCCAGACAGCCUUGGCUCAGUCUUUGUAUUAUGGGCAGUACUCCAGAGGACUGUACAUGGACCAGAAACUGUUGAUGGCCUCUAAAUGCUGUGACCAAACAUCCUCGGCCAAGCAGAGAGGACUGGGUAUGAGAGACUCUGAGGAUGGUAAACACUCUGCUAGUGGACCCAUGCUAGGUAAAGGUCCAGACGGUGCUAAAGGCUGUUGUGCCAAAUCUGUCCUAUCCUACGUGGAGAUGAGUGAGAGAGGAGAGAGGGGGCACAGUCUGGGCAUAAAGACUGUGCACAGCGGCAUGGUGGACCAGCACCAAGUCGCAAUGAAAGACUGUGAUGACAUCAAGUCACCCUCCUCUUCCUCUUCUUCUUCACUCCUCAACCCAAACAGUCAAACAGAUCUGGACUCAAAUGUUCCCUUUUCCAGUCCCUCAGACAGACCUGCCUGGCUCACAGCCCACCUCACUCACAGCAAAUACUCAGAGCUACAGAGUCACCACGGCGAUGAGGAGGGUCAAGCAGACAGUGGGGAUGAGUGGGGAGCUGCCCUGGAGCCUGCCGGGGCCAAGAUGACCCCAGGGAGAAGAAGAGGAGAGAGACGAAGUGUGCCCAAAGACCCAAAACAAGCCAGAGUUCUUGGAUGCCAUGAUUUCCGACUCAACAUGGAUAAGGAGGAUACCAACAGGCUGGACGAGCUUGAAGAUCAGUGUCAGGAAGCAAUAGGGGAACCGUCCGAGGAAUCACAAACUGCAAGGACAGCCGUUUCUCCUCUUUUGACUCUUCAGCAGCCCUACAUCAAGUACCAGCAGUCCUCCUACCUUCCCUACCUAGGAGUGUGUGAAAGUGGGGGGGCCUCCUACCAAAGGGUUUCCUCAACCCUGAUCCAGAGUUACCCAGGUUUCCACUAUCCUCUGUAUGGUAAGACAGCAGGCAGGGAGGAGUCAGAGUUGACUCCACCCACCAAAGGAGCGAGCAGCAAGCAGAUCAGCAACUCUUCCUCUUCCUCCUCCUCGGUGGAGCCACUGCAGCAGCAGAGCCUUCAGUAUCAUGAAAACUCCCCCGAAGUGAGGUUCCACUCCCCUCAGUGCCACAUCCAUUGCAUCACUGCUCUGAAAUUUGUUUUCCCUCAUCAGACAGAUCUGAGAUGUUCCACAGACAGAAAAAACACUCAGGGAGGGGCUGAAAGGAAGACAAACACCAAGGCUUUAACCCUGGUGAGAGGGGUUCCCCCGAGGCAGAGAGGGAGACGGCUGCGGAGAGGAACCAGGUGUUGUUUAGUCGGCACCUCCACUCGCACCAUCACAAUCACCUGGGUCUGAGCUACAACCUGAUGUCAGGACCGUACCACAUCUACCAAGGUCUGAGCUCCAGGCCGCUGGUCUCUGGUCAGCAGGUAUCAGGACACUCCUCAACAGACAGUGAAGUGAAGAAGUAGGGCCACGUGACCACGUCUCAGAUGAGAAACUGCAGAUCCGUCAGACGUCGACUCCGUGGUGUUUGCAUAAGCUUUGCCUCACUGACGGGCAGACAAGAAAAAGUAAAAGCUCCCGUGUAGACAGCCACCAGUUUUUGAAGACAACUCACAUGAGCGGAGGAGGCGGCGAGGGGGCAGAGGGCAGAACCUGGACCUUUCUGGAGGAGGAUUUCUGUAAAAGUCCACAGACGCUGACGUCUGAAUCAACGCUGUGCAAUCAGCCUGACUGCAGCUGCUGUGUUCAACUUUACAAAUGCACAUUUACAACGAGAUGUAUUAUAAUGGUGAGAUGACUGAAUGUACUGAUGAUGACUGACACUGUCUCAAAAGUGUGGAUCCUUUUUAAACUCCUGUUUGAACAAAACCAGAUAUGAAAGCUCAAAAGUAUAUAAUUAUCCCUCUUGUUCUCUUUGCUGAAGUCGUCCUCCUUCCAUAGUGCUGAAGCUACAUUUGUAUUACUAACCUGUACUUGAGUGUAACCAUGUUGAUUGUAUCGUCUUUAUGUGAGAGUAAACCUUCACAUCGACAGCGCCACCUAAGGUUCCAGUGGUGUAAAUAUUCUGUACAGAUUAAUAGCAGAGCACUGAAAUGCUUUAUUGUACAUAACAUUGAUCUCCAUCAGCCAUGCAGGGGGGCAGAGGGACGGGCAGAGCAGAUGACAUGAGUUUUGUUGGUCGGGGAACAACAGCAGAUCUUUCUGAAGCCUUUGUUUGGCAGGAAACCACGUGAGGACUUUGCUGUAACUCUGAUCCGCACAAAAACUGCCAUUUAUUUGGAAAAAUGCAUUUCAAAAGCCUCACGUUUUCCUCAGCUACUGACUUAAGAUCGGAAUUAAGAAUUUUCAAGUGUUUUCAGUGAAUUUUACAAAGGACGGACACCUUUUUAUCGAAGCAUUUUGUUUGUUAAAAUCCAGCUCACUGACGAUAAAUCUGAUAAAUUUACUGUCAAACUCAUCAAAGCAGUAAAUAUGUGGUCUUAGCCUGUGAGGCGGAAUUCCGACGCUUUGGUUUCUGGUGUCACAACCCUGCUGCUGCUGUCUGUACACUAAUCCUGUGGGUUUUUAGACAAAUUACUUCACAGAACCUUGAUGGAUUUAGUAUAAAAUAAUCAACAUCAAGAUUUUAAAAAAUAGAUUUCAGCAUCUGAAUUUAUGUGUUAAUGUAAGACACCUCCACACACUCACUUGAGUGUUCAUUUUGGCCUUUGCAACACUCAGCAGUCAUGCUGCUUCUUCUCCAAAUCCCAGUGGCAGGCUAAGAAAACGCCGAAUAUGAAAGUGGCGUGAAGAAGCUGGAGUUUCACUGAUGCUGUGUGAGGGUUUCCUGACCUCUCCUGAAUGCGUCAUAGAUGCUGGUUUGACUGGACCCCCAGAGUCCCUCCUCCCUCCCAAGUUUCUUCAAAUGAACUAGCUCAGUGCAGACUCAGCAUCAGGUUUGACCUCUGAGGUGACCCCUUCCUUAAAACUGGGAUUCACACUACAAUUUUCAAUAAGAAGGCUGAAGCGUUUGUCACCGAAAUGCAUUUUUUACUUGUUUUACAGCGAAGAAUGGUGGUACUUUACAAUAAUUUGGAACUGGAAGUAAAAACGAGGCAUCUUAAUAUUUAAUUAUGAGUCAAAAGUAACUGAUGAAAGAAAUAUGAGCUAAAAGUUUGAACAUAACAUCUCAACAAAUUCCAAAUAUUGAAAAAAUAAUUUGAAUGAACCAUAUGAAAAAACAUUGUCUGCAGCAUUUCUAGCAUCAAUAAGCAUUUCACAAUUAGUAAAAUCAACCCCUAAGAAGAUAUUAAAACAAUGUUUGUUCUCAGAGUUUUAUCCAGAAGCACAUGGUACAUUUUGAUGAAACUUCUGGACGUCUGGAACUGCAGCAAAACAGUGGAAAGAUUAAAAAAAAUUCCAGUUUCUGAGAGCUGUUUAGUGGUUCAGACCUGCUUCAAUCCAUAAAGAAUAUCCAGUUUCCGUAGAUCGAAAACCCAACACUGUUAAAUGGACAGCAGCUGGUGUAAACAUGAAAACCUGAGCCAGUCGUGUGUCUCACCCUCAGACCUGCGUCAGAACUGCCUGACCUGGUUUCAUUAGCGGCUCUGCCUCUCCUCCACAGAACCUCAUCUGCGUUGUAUCUGUGGUCAUUCUCUUACUUGAAAAGAGUGCUAUAGCUCUGUUUACAAAAAGCUCUUCACUGUUCUGGGACAGUGAUGUCUGAAGGCUGCUCGGUAUGUUGGGUUUAUCCACCAGUAAAUAACAAAAAAACAAACAAACAAACAAACAAACCUGCUGUUGCUUUUUUAUACUGUAUAUGCCUUAAUUCAUAUGUUUGGCAAUCAUGAUUAAAGGAUCUUUAUAUAUA